rnacentral:rRNA from 1 species
AUUGAACGCUGGCGGCAGGCCUAACACAUGCAAGUCGAGCGGAUGAAGGGAGCUUGCUCCUGGAUUCAGCGGCGGACGGGUGAGUAAUGCCUAGGAAUCUGCCUGGUAGUGGGGGAUAACGUCCGGAAACGGGCGCUAAUACCGCAUACGUCCUGAGGGAGAAAGUGGGGGAUCUUCGGACCUCACGCUAUCAGAUGAGCCUAGGUCGGAUUAGCUAGUUGGUGGGGUAAAGGGCUACCAAGGCGACGAUCCGUAACUGGUCUGAGAGGAUGAUCAGUCACACUGGAACUGAGACACGGUCCAGACUCCUACGGGAGGCAGCAGUGGGGAAUAUUGGACAAUGGGCGAAAGCCUGAUCCAGCCAUGCCGCGUGUGUGAAGAAGGUCUUCGGAUUGUAAAGCACUUUAAGUUGGGAGGAAGGGCAGUAAGUUAAUACCUUGCUGUUUUGACGUUACCAACAGAAUAAGCACCGGCUAACUUCGUG